GGAUUUGACCUGCUGCUCUGGAUUUGAUGUUGUGCCCCCAGACUCAGAAUGAGAUCCUGUUGAUUGAGUGUCUAUUUUGGAAGGAGUCGACUCAAGCAUUGAGGGUAAACAUGUAUCAGUUACACCUAGAGAAAAAUCACAUCCAGAGGUAGGACCAAUUUGUGACCUUAUGACUCCAUGAUGGCUAGAAGAAUCAACAUUCUUCAGAGAUAAAAUGCCCCCUCUAUUUUGAGAAGAUUUGAACAUUGGAAAAUGCUGGCCUUUGAAUGUUUCAUGUUUCAAUUUAGAGCUCUCAUUCAUAAAGGAAUUAUUAUGCAUUUUUCUAAAUUCUUUCACAAAUUUAGAGCUGUCUGCAUCCAUCUCUGGACCACCAGGUAAAGGAUGAUGCUUAGCUCUGCAACUAUCUUCCCCAGAUUCAUAACGAUGUGAUAAUUGAUUAUGGAUAUCAU
rnacentral:misc_RNA from 1 species